rnacentral:rRNA from 1 species
UGGGGAAUAUUGCACAAUGGGGGAAACCCUGAUGCAGCGACGCCGCGUGAGCGAAGAAGUAUUUCGGUAUGUAAAGCUCUAUCAGCAGGGAAGAAAAUGACGGUACCUGACUAAGAAGCCCCGGCUAACUACGUGCCAGCAGCCGCGGUAAUACGUAGGGGGCAAGCGUUAUCCGGAUUUACUGGGUGUAAAGGGAGCGUAGACGGAAGUGCAAGUCUGAUGUGAAAGGCGGGGCUCAACCCCUGGACUGCAUUGGAAACUGUACUUCUGGAGUGCCGGAGAGGUAAGCGGAAUUCCUAGUGUAGCGGUGAAAUGCGUAGAUAUUAGGAGGAACACCAGUGGCGAAGGCGGCUUACUGGACGGUAACUGACGUUGAGGCUCGAAAGCGUGGGGAGCAAACAGGAUUAGAUACC